rnacentral:rRNA from 1 species
UGGGGAAUAUUGGACAAUGGGGGGAACCCUGAUCCAGCCAUGCCGCGUGUGUGAAGAAGGCCUUAUGGUUGUAAAGCACUUUAAUCGAGGAGGAGGGUACUGGUAUUAAUACUACCAGCUACUGGACGUUACUCGCAGAAUAAGCACCGGCUAACUCUGUGCCAGCAGCCGCGGUAAUACAGAGGGUGCGAGCGUUAAUCGGAUUUACUGGGCGUAAAGCGUGCGUAGGCGGCUAAUUGAGUCGGAUGUGAAAUCCCCGAGCUUAACUUGGGAAUUGCAUUCGAUACUGGUUAGCUAGAGUGUGGGAGAGGAUGGUAGAAUUCCAGGUGUAGCGGAGAAAUGCGUAGAGAUCUGGAGGAAUACCGAUGGCGAAGGCAGCCAUCUGGCCUAACACUGACGCUGAGGUACGAAAGCAUGGGGAGCAAACAGG